GACGUAGGGCGCGAGCGUUGUCCAGAUUUAUUGGGCGUAAAGAGCUCGUAGGCGGCUUGUCGCGUCGUCCGUGAAAACCUGCGGCUCAACUGCAGGCUGGCGGUCGAUACGGGCAGGCUGGAGUUCGGUAGGGGAGACUGGAAUUCCUGGUGUAGCGGUGAAAUGCGCAGAUAUCAGGAGGAACACCGAUGGCGAAGGCAGGUCUCUGGGCCACUACUGACGCUGAGAAGCGAAAGCAUGGGGAGCGAACAGG
rnacentral:rRNA from 1 species